AUUGAACGCUAGCGGGAUGCCUUACACAUGCAAGUCGAACGGAGUGGCGAACGGGUGAGUAAUGUAUCGGGAGGUGCCCAGUAGCGGGGGAUAACUACGCGAAAGCGUAGCUAAUACCGAAUAAUAUUGGAGCGCACGCUUGUGGAGUGGAUAGUUGGAGGGGUAACGGCUCACCAAGGCGACGAUGCGUAGCUGGUUUGAGAGGACGACCGGCCACACUGGGACUGAGACACGGCCCAGACUCCUACGGGAGGCAGCAGUAGGGAAUUUUGGGCAAUGGGGGAAACCCUGAUCCAGCCAUCCCGCGUGUGCAAUGAAGGCCUUCGGGUUGUAAAACACUUUUGGCAGGGAAGCGGUACCUGCAGAGAAAGCACCGGCUAACUACGUGCCAGCAGCCGCGGUAAUAC
rnacentral:rRNA from 1 species